AGAGUUUGAUCCUGGCUCAGGAUGAACGCUGGCGGCGUGCCUAAUACAUGCAAGUCGAGCGGUAACACUUCGGGUGACGAGCGGCGGACGGCUGAGUAACACGUAGGAACGUACCCCAAACUGAGGGAUAACUGCUCGAAAGAGUAGCUAAUACCGCAUGUGGUCUUCGGAUUAAAGCUUCGGCGGUUUGGGAGUGGCCUGCGUCCGAUUAGCUUGUUGGUGAGGUAAUAGCUCACCAAGGCGACGAUCGGUAGCUGGUCUGAGAGGAUGAUCAGCCUGACUGGAACUGAGAACGGUCCAGACUCCUACGGGAGGCAGCAGUAGGGAAUUUUCCACAAUGGGCGAAAGCCUGAUGGAGCAACGCCGCGUGCAGGAUGAAGGCUUUCGGGUCGUAAACUGCUUUUAUGAGUGAAGAAUAUGACGGUAACUCAUGAAUAAGGGUCGGCUAACUACGUGCCAGCAGCCGCGGUCAUACGUAGGACCCAAGCGUUAUCCGGAAUUACUGGGCGUAAAGAGUUGCGUAGGUGGCAUAAUAAGUGGAUCGUGAAAGCGUGCGGCUCAACCGCAUAUCCGCGUUCCAAACUAUUAAGCUUGAGUAUGAGAGAGGUAGAUGGAAUUUCUAGUGUAGGAGUGAAAUCCGUAGAUAUUAGAAGGAACACCGAUGGCGUAGGCAGUCUACUGGCUUAUUACUGACACUAAGGCACGAAAGCGUGGGGAGCGAACAGGAUUAGAUACCCUGGUAGUCCACGCCGUAAACUAUGGAUGCUAGCUGUGACACAUAUCGACCUGUGCCGUAGCGUAGUUAACGCGUUAAGCAUCCCGCCUGGGGAGUACGGUCGCAAGAUUAAAACUCAAAGGAAUUGACGGGGACCCGCACAAGCGGUGGAGC
rnacentral:rRNA from 1 species